rnacentral:lncRNA from 1 species
UUUUGUUUAUGAGGUCUUUCCACCUUUCCGUGGAAAGACCUAUUGAUUUUGUUCUGAUUAUUAUUAGGUCUUUCCACCUUUCCGUGGAAAGACCUAUUGAAUUUGUUCUGAUUAUUAUUAUUAGGUCUUUCCACCUUUCCGUGGAAAGACCUAUUGAAUUUGUUCUGAUUAUUAUUAUUAGGUCUUUCCACUUUUCCGUGGAAAGACCUAUUGAUUUUGUUCUGAUUAUUAUUAUUUUUCUUCUUCCGCCUAAAUUUUUU